UGCAUCACCCUAAAUUAAUACUCUCUCUCUCUCUCUCUCUGUGUGUGGUUAUUUCAGUCGUUCUAGAGUGAUACAAAUAAAUUUUGAGAUGAAAGGAAAUGGAAAAUGUUAAGCUUCUAGUUGUAAGGUGUGAAUGACAUCAUACAAAAAUUAUGUAACCACUAGCUCUGAAAACUCAUUUGAACAUUCCUGUAUAAUAAAAGGUAGGACACAAGUAUAUAUUCUGUAGAUAAUCACAAUUCAAGAAACUUUGAAUAUCAAUCAAGUAACUUUUCAAAAUGGAUUUUUAUAUAAGGGCCAAUUAUUUUUUUAAUGUAUUGUAGUUAUUAUAAAAUUUGCAAUGGCAAAAACCUUCUUUUGCAGUGGAGACUUACUAUUAUAGAGCCUCUAUUUCAAAUGGAGGCUUUCGGAGCCUCCAUUCCAAGUCCAGGUUUAUAAUUGAAUUUUCUACUUUGUCGCCUAUUUCUUGUAAGGUGUGUGACUUGGGAAGAAAUGGGUCUAGAUUGUGAAAUAGGUUGGGGUCAAGACCACUCUAGUAAUAUUUUCAAAAUCAACAGUAUUUUAAUAAUGUUUUUGGUAAAGUUAACGUAUAUCUUUAUUCUCUUCCAAGUAUUAUUUCACCUUGCCUUUUUUUGUCCUAAAUAUUUAAUUGCCCUCUAUAAGAAGCAGAUUCUCUGCACCUAUGGCUUCUUACAUUAAUGACGUUGCUUUAUAAAUCUACUCAUUUUGGCACUUUUAUAUCUAAAAAAAUGAAAGUCAAUGUCUUGUUCAGGUCCUUCCCCCUUACCAUAUCAGCAGACUGGUUCCAAUUACAGUUCACUAAACUCAAUGUCUACUAGAAAUGAAAGUCAAAAGUAGUUUGGAUCAUAUGACAAUAUACAAACUCAUGUUAGGGCUUAAAAGGCUACACGUAUGCCUUCUGGGGCCACUGUUGGUGCUGCUAUUGUUAAAGCAGAGAAUAGUCUUGAGACGGAUGUAUGUUUUCCUGCUUUAGGAGAUGUAUCUCAAUGUAACUCUUCGAUUGCCAUUCUUUAGGAUUAAUUUUCUAUUGGCUAACUUUUGACUGGAUAUAAAUUUUGCUAUCUGGGAUUGAAGGGUGUAUUUGUCAUAUAAUCUUUCAUUGUUUACUUGUCAAAAAAUAAUAGAAUUUUGUCACUUCUAUCAUCGUCAUCAAUCAUUGUCAGUUCAUCAUAUUAGUUACUGAAUUUCAAGUUUAAUUGCUACUUAAUGGGUUACGUUUUCUCUCUAUUGGUUAUCAGUAUGACCUGGAUCUCUUCAAUAUUGUUACUGUUCCAGAUUUUAACAUUUAAGUCUCAACAUAUUCAAUGCUUCUCACGUAUGUCGUUUUCCUUAAUAUUUGAUAAGCUUUGUGAUUUUCCCCUUUUAAAUUACUAAUUAUCUCAUUUAUUGGUUUCAGGGAAGCCAUGGAAAACAAAAGCUUGAAUGUAUGCUUCAUGAAUUUUUUUUUGACUCUUUAUUUCUAUCUACCAUGCAUUUUAUUUGAUUGAUCUGACUUGGUUGUUGAUAGAUAUUCAAUUCCAAGGUUGUUGACAGAUGUAGAUUAUGCUGCAAUUUUAGGAGUUAUUGGCCAUGAGGUGUAUCAUUUAUCUCAUAAAAAGCAAGAAACUUGGUUAAUUUGUAUUAAUUUGGGUCUUAUUUCUUGUGUAUAUUGUAGUAUUUUCACAACUGGACUGGUAACAUGUUAGCUUACAUUGCUACUCUAUCUCAAUUAUUAAAAUCUUGUUACUCUUUUGUAUAACUUUUUUUUCUUCCAAUCUUUCUCUUUUGGUUGACACUUUUUUUUUGUAGAGUGACAUGUCGAGACUGGUUUCAACUUGGUCUUAAAGAAGGUCUUACUGUAUUCCGUGAUCAAGUCUGGGCACAUUAUUAAUUACCAAGUGACCAUUGAAACGCUGAAAAUAUUUGUUGGUUGAUUGAGCUUGCAAUCCUCUAAUGCAUUCCUUUGGUAGGAAUUUUCAUCUGACCUGGGGAGUUGUACAGUAAAGCGGAUUGCUGAUGUUUCAAGGCUUCGAAAUUAUCAGUUUCCACAGAUGGCUUUUAGCAUGAAAUUGUGGAUAUUCCAUUUUUGUAGACGGAUGACAAUGUACACUUUUGUAAACUCCUGCAUUUUUGUCGUCCUCUGCUUUCUGUGUAAGUAUGUAUUAAUUGUACAGAAUACUUUUGGCGGGGUACAUAAUAUUUUUGCCUUCGAACAGAUGAUUGAUGUCGUGAUCUAUUGAUUACCUUUUGUCAUGGUACAUAUUACUAUGGUAUUUUGUAUCAUGCCAAAUGGUUAUUUGGCAUAGUAAUAAAUAUAUUUUUGUAUAUAGAUGAUGAAAUUUCCCUAUGAUCAUUUAUGUUAUAUAUGGAAUUAUUAUUUUAAA